UACGUAGGGACCAAGCGUUGUUCGGAUUUACUGGGCGUAGAGGGCGCGUAGGCGGCAAUUCAAGUCAUCUGUGAAAUCUCCGGGCUUAACCCGGAACGGUCAGGUGAUACUGUUUUGCUAGAGUGCGGAAGGGGCAAUCGGAAUUCUCGGUGUAGCGGUGAAAUGCGUAGAUAUCGAGAGGAACACCAGAGGUGAAGACGGGUUGCUGGGCCGACACUGACGCUGACAGCGCGAAAGCCAGGGGAGCAAACGGG
rnacentral:rRNA from 1 species